rnacentral:lncRNA from 1 species
UUCAUCUGAAAAGUAUAUUCUGAAAAGAAAAAAGCUUUCAUGCUCCAAUGAUCACCCCAAGGAGUUUUCAGAUAUUGGCACUGAAAAGAACACCUCACCAAACUGUGGAACUUAGAGAAUUUGAUAUCAAGCUACUGAUGGGAGGUAGUGAGUUAUGAACAAGAACGAGUUUGAAGCUGGAUGGGUGCCCCAACUAAUCUGCCAUCGCAAGGGUUGAAUACUUAGCAAACUCAUGCAGUGGUCAUCAUUGGAUUUGGUAGGAUGUUGACAGACAAAAUGCUACUAUUGGCCAGCACAAGGUUUUACUGAUCAGCCUUCUUUUACCACCUUCGAAGUCUCCUUUCCUGACCUCACCAGUUGCUUAGCUGCUUCUGAGCAGCUGCAGGCAACGCACCACCUCAUCUAGCCUGAGUCCCUCCCCUCUUUAUAAGCCAACCCUCCCAAACUCCCAAGGCUAGUAGUAGACAAGGAAGCAUCAAUGGAGGGUCUCAUCCCGAUCAUCUACAAAGCUAUAAGCCAGUAUGCAAAUGGAGGACAAGAUCAUCUACAGGCCUCAUGGUUCCAUGAAUCACCUUCUGCUUACUACAUCCAACUGCCCGGCGACCCCAGCAGAUUCAGGUCAUCAGAUGCCCAAUCCUUCUCUUCCUCGGCCUUACCUCUGCCUGCUUCGACUUCAACGAAGUCUCCCCUCCGGCGAACCACCUCGCGUCGGCUGGCCUGAUGAUCACAAAGGUGAUCGACGCCAACCUGGCUUUCUUGGUGCAAACAAGAGUCCGCGUCGGUGAUCACGGGCCUCUGUUUUCUUCCUGCAAUAAGGCACAAACAUGCUAAGUCAGCAUACGUGUGGAUGUUCCGGCGAUAGAAAUAUAAGUGUGAUAUAUGGCAGUCUGUAAUUACUGAAUUUUACAGAGUAAGUAUGAUCUGCUGCUACUAUUUUUCAUGUGUUAGAAUUAAGACUUGCAGUUUCAAUCCGUAGGAUUAGGAAUAAUCAGCUUUUCUGGUAAGACAGAUUUUGGCAAGGAGGAGAAUUCUGUAUACCAUCCUGCUCUCAAUCGUCGGAUUCGAUCAUUAACGAUAAAUAAGCAAGCAUAUUGUAGGAUUAGAGACGAAUUCAUAUGAUCAAGAUUCAGAACUCUGCCCGGGUUCCAAAUUGCCAAGUGUUUUAUGGCUAAUACAAGGUCGAGAACUCCAUAUUGCAUUCGUUACUCCUCUUGCGAGAUCAGAUUGUAGAGCAACCAAUAUGGUGGUCUGGUCCUCGUUCAGAAUAAAGACCUCCAUUAAUUAGUAGAACCUGUAGAUUUGGCUACUCUGUUUCACCAUUGAAGAUCCAAGAAAUGAUCAUCAUGCAUCCUCGGUGUAAGAAAGUCACGAUAUGCAGGGUAUACUAACUACUCCAAGAAUUCUGUGCUCGUUUCAGAUGCAUUAGGCCAUCUAGUUUGCUAGGAACGAAAUCCCUCCGUGUUCGCAGCUCUAACUCUCGUCAUCAGUGUGCCGAUCUCCACUCCGAUAGACCAUCGGGUGGUGGUAUGCGGACACGGUCUGUGAACAGAACAGAUAGAUGCCGCAGGAAUGUUUCUUUUGUGAGCAGGAGAUACAGAAUGCAGUGGAUUCAAAUGCCAGGUGAAUUGGAAGACUAUCUGCCGACCAAAGCGCCCAUAGACCAUGAAAGGCCUCCUUCUAAUGGUCGGUCAGAUCAACACUACCAAGAAGGAAGGCUGCAUUUUGUGAACGGGAAACUAAUGAAAAGCACAUAGAGGCAGUGAUGACUGCUAGAUAGCUUCAUUUCAGAAAAGAAAGAAAAAAUUAUGCUAGUUAGCUUAACUGUGCAUCAAGAUGCCCUGAUUGAUUACCUGUGCAAUUUGUGGUAAGUUUAUUGUGCAAGGAUAACAAACACCUCUUACAUACAUCCUAAUUUUUAUAAAUCUUAAGAGUUAAAUAAAGUAUUAAUUUAUGAGAUGAUUGUGUAGAAUUAGGAUCAUUUUUCAAUCAUAAGGAUGUACAUUAAACAUUUGAACAUCAUGAUUACAGCAUAAAUAUGUUGUUACGAUGAUUUCUCGAUUGAUACGUCAGAUUGAUUGGGUAUCCAGGGUGAUAUUGAGUGACACUAAUAUAUAAAAGUGAUUCGAUGAAUAUAUCGAGCUGACGAAAUACUCCGCAUAAGAUGACAUCUCAUUGGGUUAUUCCUAUAUCAGAUUUUUUUUAUUAUAUUAUAAUAUAAGUUUUUGAUAUAUUAUUUUCUUGAAAAAAAAUAACUUUCUCAUUCACUAUGGCAUAACGACAAAAAGGAAGAAUCAUAUAAAAUAAGAUUUAUGUUUUUUGCGCCCCACUGUUGCAGAUAAGGAAGCUUGGGAAGUCCUGAGAAGAGCCAAUCAAAGCAGAUAUGCUAGUAAAGACUGAUAACUUUUGGGAAAAUACAAGGAAAGUUGACUUGGCUCAAGCCUUAUUUAAAGAAAUAGGAUUACUUAUUCUGUCAUCAAAAGUGCAACACUGAUUAACCACACAACAUUAAACGGAAUGCGUAAGCGCCAAGAUGAACUACCAUCGUGUCUGUACGUAGGUUGCUGUGCCCUGUAGAUCCCUAUUGCAGUGGGAGGACGCUGUAGAUCUCUAGCGCAUUGAGGAUGGGAGGAAGGUUGGAGUCACUAGUGCUGUUCAAGGUAAAAUUGUAGGUGACCUCCGUCCCGAGGGCAGACGUGACGCUCAGGCUUAUAUGAGUUGACAGGAGAUACUCCGGUUUGAAGCUGCUCACUUUGAGUUCGUCGUUCACGAGCACAUCAAACAUUCUAUUCUCGGUCUGGCUGAGGGCGUCAAACUCCGCGAAGUGCAUGUAGACGUAGUAGACGACUCCGGUGUCCGCUCCGAAGUAGAACUUCAAAUAAGUGUCAUUUGCCGGCGUCACGGCGGUGGCCAUUACAACAGCAGGCACUUGGAAGGCAUCGCCUGGGCUCGUCUGAAUCGGCUGCGAGGAAUUUAUGUCGGCCCAUACAGUUGGUGUAAUGUAGAGCUGCCAGAUGCGAUCAUAGGCAUCAUCUGGAUACCUAAAUGUUUGAAAACACAAACAGUUCACUAAGAACAUAAAUAAUAUAUAUACAUCUGACUCGAGCAAUCCAACAAUAAACGCCUUGAGAGAGAUAGAGAGGGAUAAGUCAGCUAACAGAGAGAGAUACGGCUAAUUCUGAAGAACGACGAGGACCGAAGGAGAGAUGAGGCAAAACAACCUUAGAGACUCUUUAUUAGAAAGGACUUGAAGAUCAAGUGCCCAAAUAACUAAGGUCAUAGUUUCUUAUAAGGUUUCUUCUCUUAAUAUAAUUAUAUAUGUUCCUCAUAGAACAAUCAGGGGCUUACCUUAUGUCUUUAGCAGCAUCUCCCAUAUUAACUCUAGCAUAUAGCACCAGGGAGUUGGUCUGAUUCACAUCUUUGUAAACGUCUGUGCUACCAAUAUGUCGCAACUCAAGCGCAGAAAUGAAAGGAGUACCAGAAUUAAUGUUGACCAAACACACUGAGAAAGAAUUGUUCUGAGCAACAGUGAUAAUCUCCUCCCAGAAUGGAUACGAUGGCUCAGUAAUAUUCAUUAGUUGCCAAAAGUUCAUCCCAAGAUGGAGUUCGAAUACAACCGAGGUCAGUCCAUCAUAAUUGCCAUGAAAGAACAAACCUCGUAUCAGGUAUUUAUCUCCUUGGAUUAUUCCGUUGAUCGUGUAGCAAUUGCGAGAUCCAUUAGGGAAGCUUCGCAGCGUCUCGGCCUGCACUGGAGUAUCUUCUUGUAAGUAUUUCUUGUUGAUUUUGUAGUUUACGCCCGAGUUGAUAUAUUUCGCGUCUGGUUCGUAUGUGAUUCCCGUGACGGUAUCAUUGUAACUCGUAGAUCCAUCCAUGCCACAGUCUAUGCUCACAAAACCUGUAGAAAGAAUAAUACAGAAAUAUUAAGAUGAUUUACCUAUAAAAUUCUACUGUGCUUUGAUGUAAAGUUGGGAGGAUGGGAACACUUGCUGCGCACCUUGUUGGGCAUUAACCUGCAGAGCUACCGCCAAGAAACCUAGAAAAAUAAGAGACCUCAUCUUGUGUACUGGCUUGCAGGAGUAACCAGCCAUGGUUCAAGCUGUGUCUACUUAUAGAUAGGGUGACUCACUUGCUGCGAAACUUCUGAUGUAUAAACAUCAGAAUGCGACUGCCACAAAAACAUGAGAGUGCAAGCACAGGCUACCGUUCAAAGAAAGAGAACCCGUCAACAGUCUCUCCAACCACCCCCACCCAUGAUUAAGAAACGUCCUUCUUUCCACCUGAAGAGCUUGAUGAUAUCUUGCUUUUGUAGCGCCCUGUAACAGUGCGUUAAAUGGCACCAAAUGAGUGCUUUCGAUUGGCGUACUUCUCUAUACUUCUCAUUGUUUGUUCCGACUUAAAACUUCGAUCAUACUGAUAUAAGCAUCCUUGUUUCUCUUCCAAGUUGGAAGAUCCAUCGACCGGAGACACCAUGUGAUUGAUAGAAUGUAGGAAUUAGGACGUCUUUCCUUGAUGUUUGAUAAUUAUGUGCAAAAAAUAUAUUUAUUCAAUAAUAUCUUCAAAAGAGUCAUAUAUUUUCUUAUAUAAGAGUAAGCAAAACAGAGUGAAGUUGGACAAAAAAAGUUUCUUAGAAUACUUUCCAAAUGAUAAGAGGGAUAUCAAUAAAAUAACACAGCUAAGAUAAAACACAUCAACAAUUUAAAGAUGUUGUUAUUGUGUCCCCAAAACAUCUUUAUAAGCCUCAAUUACAAUGUUGUUGAGAUAAAGAUAAUAUAUUGACAUAUUAUCGUAGUGUCUCAUGCUUGGACUUUGUCAUUUACUCUAAGAAAUCUAAAUUUGGAGUCUCCUAGUUGACUCAUAUGAUAUUCCAAGAUUUAUGAAUAGAUCAUGUUAGGACAUUAUAAAAUAUCAUCCUCAGAAGAGAUAUGAUUUCAAAAAAGAUGAGAAAGACACUCCGUCAUUUUACGUAGAAGAUAUGUAUUCACUGAAAAAAUAACAAAGAAAAAUACUACUCUAAAUCACUAUCAUUUACCUGAUCUUUGAAACAGUGGCUUUUUCCACAGCUUUAUAUCCAUGUCAAUCUUUAUGGGAGGAUAUAGAGAUUUAAUCGGGGCUUUCAAAUAUUUGUAAUAAUACUUUUAGAAAAAAAAUAAAUCUAAAAAUUUAAUGAUCUAAUGCGGAGCAAGCCCAAUAAAUUUAUGCAGUUAUAACAAUUCCUAUUAUUAUUUUUAGUAUAAUUAUCAGACAUUAAAUGCAUCAUCAAUCAAUGACUCGUCGUUCCAAGGGACUAAUUUCAUCACUGUAAAACGAAAAAACUUGUGGGGGUUUAUUGACUAUAAAAGAAUAUAAAUAGAAAUAUACUCAAAAUCACUAUCAUUGACUUGACCCACUUACUUUGUCUAUUCUAUGAAAAAAUAAUCAAAGAAAAAAAAAA